rnacentral:tRNA from 1 species
CUAACUUUAGUUUAAUUAAGAAUGAAGAUUUUGGGGAUCUUUGGUCUUUGUAAAAGAAGUUUGG